UGUAAAAAGCAAAGCUGUUGCAAAGCAGUGACGCAAAGCUAUAGGGUCUUUUUCGAAGACAGCCAGCUGCCGU
rnacentral:ncRNA from 1 species